UGUGCCAGCAGCCGCGGUAAUACGUAGGGGGCGAGCGUUGUCCGGAAUCAUUGGGCGUAAAGAGCUCGUAGGCGGCUGACUAAGUCGGCGGUGAAAGCCCAAGGCUCAACCUUGGCACUGCCGUCGAUACUGGUCUGGCUAGAGUCCGGUAGAGGAGAACGGAAUUCCCGGUGUAGCGGUGGAAUGCGCAGAUAUCGGGAGGAACACCUGUAGCGAAGGCGGUUCUCUGGGCCGGAACUGACGCUGAGGAGCGAAAGCGUGGGGAGCAAACAGGAUUAGGUACCCUGGUAGUCCACGCCGUAAACGUUGGGCACUAGGUGUGGCGACCCGACCAACGGUUGCCGUGCCGAAGCUAACGCAUUAAGUGCCCCGCCUGGGGAGUACGGCCGCAAGGGCUAAAACUCAAAGGAAUUGACGGGG
rnacentral:rRNA from 1 species